CACGCAGGCGGCCGCCUCAGUCAGAUGUGAAAGCCCACGGCUCAACCGUGGAAUUGCAUUUGAUACUGGGUGGCUAGAGUACGGUUGGGGUGAGUGGAACUCCUGGUGGAGCGGUGAAAUGCGUAGAUAUCAGGAGGAACACCAGUGGCGAAAGCGGCUCACUGGACCGUAACUGACGCUCAGGUGCGAAAGCUAGGGUAGCGAACG
rnacentral:rRNA from 1 species